UACGUAGGGUGCAAGCGUUGUCCGGAAUUAUUGGGCGUAAAGAGCUCGUAGGCGGUCUGUCGCGUCGGCUGUGAAAACCCGAGGCUCAACCUCGGGCCUGCAGUCGAUACGGGCAAACUAGAGUACUGCAGGGGAGACUGGAAUUCCUGGUGUAGCGGUGAAAUGCGCAGAUAUCAGGAGGGAACACCGGUGGCGAAGGCGGGUCACUGGACCAUAACUGACGCUGAUGCACGAAAAGCUAGGGGAGCAAACAGGG
rnacentral:rRNA from 1 species